AUGAUUGGAGCUCAGAACGUCUCUUCCUGCUGGCUCUGCCCACCAGGCUGGUUCUGCAACAACACGGCUCUCACUCAGCCCUCAGGCGUCUGCUCUGCAGGAUUUUAUUGCACCGCUGGAGCUAAAACCUCUAUGCCUGAAGAUGGAGUUACAGGAAACAGAUGCCCCCCAGGAUAUUUCUGCCCAUCAGGCUGCACUUCACCUAAACACUGCCCUGAUGGUACUUACUCCAACACUACAGGUGCGGCAGAGUGCAGCGACUGUCCUCCCGGAUGGCUCUGUCUGGAAGGCGAGGAGGCCCAGCUGUGUCCAGAGGGCCAUUACUGCCUAGGGGGCACUGUGGAGGACAUCCUCCCCUGCCCCCCAGGCACAUACAGUCCCAAAGCAGGGCAGAGCCAAGUAGAGCAGUGUUCACUGUGUUCAGCUGGCAUGUACUGUGAGGACUGGGGACUAGUGGAACCAACUGGUCCCUGCCAGUCAGGGUAUUUUUGUCUAGCAGGCAUAAAUUUCAGGAACCCUGAUGGGAAUUUCAGCACUGGGGUUGGGGGAGCGUGUCCUUUAGGGCAUUACUGUCCUGAGGGCACCAGUCUACCUCUACCCUGCCCACUCGGGACCUUUUCCAACAGCCUGUAUGUCACAGAUCGCUCAGGCUGCAGUUCGUGUCCUGCGGGCCAGUUCUGUGGCUCUGUGGGCCUCAGCAGGCCAUCUGGACACUGUUAUGAGGGAUUCUACUGCCCGAGCGGAGCUACCUCCUCCACUGGCUCAGGCACAGAGGGUGGACUCUGUCCUCAAGCACAUCACUGCCCAGCAGGCAGCGCACUGCCACUUCCCUGCCCAGCAGGCACCUACGCCAACCUUACUGGCCAGGUUAUGUGUAGCAUUUGUCAUGCUGGAUACUACUGCCCAGAAAUCACCAGCAACUAUACUCGCUAUCCAUGCCCGCCUGGCUUCUACUGUCCUGAUGGCACAAAGCAUGCUACGCAGUUCCCAUGCCCAAGAGGCUACUAUAACCCUGAGCCCAUGACCCAGAGCCUGGACAGCUGCCUACCCUGCCCUCCAGGCCACUACUGUGAGAAGGAAAGACUGACAGCUGUGUCAGGGAAAUGCAAAGCUGGCUGGUUUUGUGUCUCAGCUGCCUGGAACCCUCAGCCGUUUGACCUGGAUAAUUAUACCAAUGCUAACUGUCUGUGUCCUGCCACUUCUACCGGGGGGAGAUGCCAGGCAGGGUACUACUGUCCAUCAGGCAGCUCAGAGCCCAUACCCUGCCCUCCUGGAGCCUUCUGCAAUUCCACUGGCCUGGCCUUGCCAAGUGGUCCCUGUGCCUCUGGUUAUUAUUGCACUGGAGAAGCUACAGAAUCUAAACCGACAGAUGGCAUCACUGGCAGCAUCUGCCCUCAAGGCUCUUACUGUGUUGAGGGCUCCAGAGAGCCAGAGCCGUGCCCAGUGGGCACAUUCUCCCUGGCAUCAGGCUUAAAGAGCCAGGCUCAGUGUCAGCCGUGCAGAGCCGGGCACUACUGCAACUCUCGAGGCCUAAGAGCUCCCACUGCUCGCUGCAGUCCGGGUUACUGGUGCCCCCCCGGUCAGACUGAUGACCUAGCUCUUCCUUGUCAGGUCGGUCAUCACUGUCCCCCAGGAAGUCCUGCCCCAGUUCUCUGCCCCUCUGGGACGUACCAGGACAAACAGAAGCAGGCCAACUGCACAAUCUGUGAAGAGGGUUUUUACUGUGAUGAGAGGUUUGGAGUCUCUAAUGCAUCUGUCCUGCAGUCCUGUCCAAAGGGUCAUUACUGCCCUAAAGGAACAAGUUAUGCCACUCAGUUCCCAUGCCCCGCUGGUACCUACAACCCAUUAGAAGGCAUGGAUAGCCUAACUGGCUGUCUUCAAUGCCCAUCAGGACACUUCUGCCCAACAGUAGGCCUUAUAGAGCCUGCAGGAUUGUGCUUCCCUGGAUACUGGUGUCGAGAAGGCUCCCACUCAGCCAGUCCAUCUACUGGAUCCUCUGGUUCAAUUUGUCCAAUUGGACACUACUGCCCCAAAGGUAUUACUGCAUGCGUUUUGCAUCAGAAUUACAUCUCAAACCAUGAGAAGAAAGAUGUAUAGGA
rnacentral:lncRNA from 1 species